UCUGCCAUUCUUAGCAUGUCACUCCAU
rnacentral:piRNA from 1 species